GUCUUUUUGAAGGUAACAAUUUGGAGCGAUGGGGCAGCCAGCCAGUACAAGGUAAAUUAUAAUAGUGCAAGAUUUCAACUAAAUAGUACUUAAACUAGUUAUUAGUAAUAACUACUAUGAACUUGUCUCAACACUUUCUUUCCAACAGGGUAAGGGCACAUUCUGUGACCCUAGCAACAUGCUGGGUCUGGAUGUGCAGUGGUGCUAUUUUCAUUAGGAGCAUGGCAAGAAUGAGUGGGAUGGUGAGACAUGAUUGUCUGUCUAAGCUAAACACAAACCCUCACAGCAAUACAUUGAGAGGGACAAUAACAAUGACUCACUUGCAGCCGUAAAUUGCACCAGUACUAAAGGCUGGCUUCCUAUGUCCUAAGAGCUCCACCGGCUGUGCUGUUUAUGUUGUGCCUAUAGACAGAACAAAUUCAACAUGUGUAUAAAUGCUGACAUGGUUGGGGAAUAUGAAGUUCACAAGUUGAAACCAAAGUAGGACGUACAUUUUUGUAAGCUUUCUAAUUUCAACAGAAUUUAGAAAUAGUUUCCCAUUAACUUGAAUAUUGUUUUGAUUCAUAUCUUAUAUUUUCCUUAGCAUGAAUGUCAGUCUCAACAAUGGCUUUUUAGAGGAUCCAGAUGUUCAGAAGAAAAAUUCAGUUUCUGAGCCUGAAAGUUCUGUGUAUCAGCUAAAAGUUGGAGACUGUCAAAGUGCACUGCAGCAUAAAUAACGUCAAGAUGAUUUUUUAUGCUGUGGUGAUUGUUGCUCCUGAACAAAGUGCUGAUAUCAGCGUCAAGUUUUUAGAAAAGAGUGGGACAUCCUAUGUAUUCAGCGACCAGU
rnacentral:sRNA from 1 species